UUUGGAGGAGGGGGUGUGGCCACCGGCCGAACGCUUCCGAAAAUGGCCGAAGGGGCCCCGAGGGUGGAGAGUUGGGCACCUCUCAGAGCCAGCUUUGGUCGAGCGCGUAGCCGAAGAGGAUGGAACGCUCCGAGUGGCGGCCUGCAAGGCCUCGGCCUCGCGUGAUUCUCCUGGCCCGGAGAGGCGCGCGCUCGCCCGGCCGCUCCGCUUAGGAAAGCGCGCUGCUUCGGGGCCUACUUCCCCAACUGACUCGGGCCUUCGCCGAGGCUACGGAGGGCGAAAAAAUAGGGGAAUUACGGGCCGGAACAGAAGGUCACAAAAAGUGAUCACAAUGACCGUGGGACACAGCGAACAGUCAUAAGCAUGAGCCAAAGGUCGUAAGUGUGAAAAAACAUUUUUCAGUGUCUUUGAACGGUCACUAAAUGAACUGUUGUAAAUCGAGGACUAACCUGUAGUGGGAUAGCAAUUUUUUUUUAUAUAGGAUUUCUGGCCGAAGAAGGAGAAGGAAUAGGGACAGGCCCAAAACGGGAUAUUCAGGAAAAAGAGAGAAAAAUCUGAAAGCAUCCCGAUGGUCGAAGAAAUGGAUGGUAGUUGGGGAAAUCAAAAUAAGGUAUUGUUGGCACGGCGCACGCUGAUGUUUGCAUUGCUAGCCCAAGCUUCUGUCCCUGCGCUGUAUCCUUCAGCAGAAAUUCGGAGGGAAAUGAAAAGACAAAAGAGAUAAAAUAUAUGCCACGUGUUUAAAACCUGGAAGGAAAAAAAAAAAAAGAUUGACCAGCAGACUUUUUGAGAGGGAAGAAACGCUGUUCCACAUGACAUACGAAAACAGGGAGGGUCCCGGUGAAACGGCUGUGCUAAACGUUCAUGGGGUCGGCUCGCUUUUGCUGCUGUGGGUUGUGUGAAGGCGGCCGUUGUGGUUUGCUCAAUUGUAUGUCGCUCAACUUGCCCUCAAGCAGCUCCGUGCGGCUGCCGAUGUUGUAAAUAGCUACCCAACAAUUAAAAGGUUAAAACAUUGGGUGUUAAA